AGCAAGAAAAGGAAGCCCUAACCAAUGUCUUGUAUCUAACAAAGAUGGGCAAAACACUAAGAGAAAAUUUAGAGUCAUAUAUCUACUCUAACAAAUUUUUAAUAAUAAGACUGUAAACUGUGAUGAAACUCAAAGUUUUUCUUAGACUUGGAAAAAAAUGAAAGAAAAUAAAGUGUACCAAGACAAGGUUAUUCACCCAGGAUCAAAUACUGUCCAUAUCGACAAACUGCGUUUAAAAUAAC